GAGCGGACAGAUGGGAGCUUGCUCCCUGAUGUUAGCGGCGGACGGGUGAGUAACACGUGGGUAACCUGCCUGUAAGACUGGGAUAACUCCGGGAAACCGGGGCUAAUACCGGAUGGUUGUUUGAACCGCAUGGUUCAAACAUAAAAGGUGGCUUCGGCUACCACUUACAGAUGGACCCGCGGCGCAUUAGCUAGUUGGUGAGGUAACGGCUCACCAAGGCAACGAUGCGUAGCCGACCUGAGAGGGUGAUCGGCCACACUGGGACUGAGACACGGCCCAGACUCCUACGGGAGGCAGCAGUAGGGAAUCUUCCGCAAUGGACGAAAGUCUGACGGAGCAACGCCGCGUGAGUGAUGAAGGUUUUCGGAUCGUAAAGCUCUGUUGUUAGGGAAGAACAAGUACCGUUCGAAUAGGGCGGUACCUUGACGGUACCUAACCAGAAAGCCACGGCUAACUACGUGCCAGCAGCCGCGGUAAUACGUAGGUGGCAAGCGUUGUCCGGAAUUAUUGGGCGUAAAGGGCUCGCAGGCGGUUUCUUAAGUCUGAUGUGAAAGCCCCCGGCUCAACCGGGGAGGGUCAUUGGAAACUGGGGAACUUGAGUGCAGAAGAGGAGAGUGGAAUUCCACGUGUAGCGGUGAAAUGCGUAGAGAUGUGGAGGAACACCAGUGGCGAAGGCGACUCUCUGGUCUGUAACUGACGCUGAGGAGCGAAAGCGUGGGGAGCGAACAGG
rnacentral:rRNA from 1 species